rnacentral:rRNA from 1 species
CCUACGGGGGGCACCAGUGGGGAAUAUUGCACAAUGGGCGCAAGCCUGAUGCAGCCAUGCUGCGUGUAUGAAGAAGGCCUUCGGGUUGUAAAGUACUCUCAGCGGGGAGGAAGGUGAUAAGGUUAAUAACCUUGUCGAUUGACGUUACCCGCAGAAGAAGCACCGGCUAACUCCGCGCCAGCAGCCGCGGUAAUACGGAGGGUGCAAGCGUUAAUCGGAAUUACUGGGCGUAAAGCGCACGCAGGCGGUCUGUCAAGUCGGAUGUGAAAUCCCCGGGCUCAACCUGGGAACUGCAUUCGAAACUGGCAGGCUAGAGUCUUGUAGAGGGGGGUAGAAUUCCAGGUGUAGCGGUGAAAUGCGUAGAGAUCUGGAGGAAUACCGGUGGCGAAGGCGGCCCCCUGGACAAAGACUGACGCUCAGGUGCGAAAGCGUGGGGAGCAAACAGGAUUAGAUACCCCUGUAGU